rnacentral:siRNA from 1 species
UCGAGCGAGCUUUUAGCAUGGG